GUACUGGCUUCUGCAACACACGUACUAAAACUGGAACAGCAUGGAGAAGAUUAGCAUGGCCCUUGUGCGAGACUGACACAUAAUUCAUCAUGAAUUCUAUAAUUUU